UUCGGCCUACGGGACGCAGCAGUGAGGAAUAUUGGUCAAUGGUCGGGAGACUGAACCAGCCAAGCCGCGUGAGGGAUGAAGGUACAGAGUAUCGUAAACCUCUUUUGUCAGGGGACAAGGGCGGGGACGUGUCCCCGGAUGAGUGUACCUGAAGAAAAAGCAUCGGCUAACUCCGUGCCAGCAGCCGCGGUAAUACGGAGGAUGCGAACGUUAUCCGGAUUUAUUGGGUUUAAAGGGUGCGCAGGCGGUCUGUUAAGUCAGCGGUCAAAGCCCGGGGCUCAACCCCGGCCCGCCGUUGAAACUGG
rnacentral:rRNA from 1 species